rnacentral:rRNA from 1 species
GAUGAACGCUGGCGGCGUGCCUAACACAUGCCAGUCGAACGAAGCACCUUACCUGAUUCUUCGGAUGAAAGUUUGGUGACUGAGUGGCGGACGGGUGAGUAACGCGUGGGUAACCUGCCCUGUACAGGGGGAUAACAGCUGGAAACGGCUGCUAAUACCGCAUAAGCGCACGAGGAGACAUCUCCUUGUGUGAAAAACUCCGGUGGUACAGGAUGGGCCCGCGUCUGAUUAGCUGGUUGGCAGGGUAACGGCCUACCAAGGCAACGAUCAGUAGCCGGUCUGAGAGGAUGAACGGACACAUUGGAACUGAGACACGGUCCAAACUCCUACGGGAGGCAGCAGUGGGGAAUAUUGCACAAUGGGGGAAACCCUGAUGCAGCAACGCCGCGUGAGUGAAGAAGUAUUUCGGUAUGUAAAGCUCUAUCAGCAGGGAAGAUAAUGACGGUACCUGACUAAGAAGCUCCGGCUAAAUACGUG